GAUGAACGCUGGCGGCGUGCCUAAUACAUGCAAGUCGAGCGAACGGACGCGAAGCUUGCUUCUCUGAUGUUAGCGGCGGACGGGUGAGUAACACGUGUAUAACCUACCUAUCAGACUGGGAUAACUUCGGGAAACCGGAGCUAAUACCGGAUAAUAUUUUGAACCGCAUUGUUGAAAAGUGAAAUUCGGUCUUGCUGUCACUUAUAGCUGCAUCCGCGCUGCAUUAGCUAGUUGGUAAGGUAACGGCUUACCAAGGCAACGAGGCAUAGCCGACCUGUGAGGGUGAUCGGCCACACGGGAACUGAGACACGGUCCAGAGUCCUACGGGAGGCAGCAGUAGGGAAUCUUCCGCAAUGGGCGAAAGCCUGACGGAGCAACGCCGCGUGAGUGAUGAAGGUCUUCGGAUCGUAAAACUCUGUUAUUAGGGAAGAACAUAUGUGUAAGUAACUGUGCACAUCGUGACGGUACCUAAUCAGAAAGCCACGGCUAACUACGUG
rnacentral:rRNA from 1 species